UGCCACCGAAGCCCCGAAGUGCCCAGGCAUAUACCUUCACAUGUAAGUAAACGAAUGUAUCUCCUUGUUGAGAAUAUCACGCGAGUAGGCAGCUCUUGUGGGGCAUCACAAUCGUUUGAGAAGCGUCACAGUAGAGCAUUUUUCUACAUGCGGAGCGGCGUUUUUAUUUGCAGGUUUCCCUUCAGUAGGAAAUUGCUGGACAGGCGGACCAGCGCACCGGUAUUGUACUGGCGAAGCCACAAGCAACUCAAAGAAUCUGUUUAAUUGUUGCACUUUGAACAAUCAUGCUUCUACAAAGGCCACAGCAGAAAAACAGCCUGAUGCCGAGUAUUUCUGUGCCACGAAGUAAUCAAGAGGCGAGUGCCUAAUGCGGACGAAAUCGAGUGCAUCGAGACUUAGAACGACAGAAAGCUGAGCUAGUUGAUAUGCAAUGGCAAGCCCUUCCGUGUGUUCCAAAGGCAGCCAGCACACCUCGAACAGCCACCUUAACUGCGGGUGUGUUAGUAGAUUCCUGUUGUACAUAUGCUCAUAAUAAACUUCAGUAAACUUGAACUUGAUAAUAAACUUGAAGGCAAAUGGGACAUUGAUGCAUUGUUUUUUUGAACAUUUAUUGUACACAUACAAUAUAUGUUAUACUUUGCAGUGCUAGAGAGCGUAUUUUGAAGCUUCCCCCUAUAUUUUGCACCUUUAAUUACGUAUGUGUUGUGUGGCCCUCAAUUCAGUUCAUGUUGUAGCAGAUGUUUUGUCUGUGUAUCGCACAUUGGCUUAAGCUCGUGAUAUCCACAUACUUCUCUCACAUAUACAAAAUAAAGUUCUAUGUAGUCCUCAGUGUUACAACAAAAAAUGAAAGUAAACAAUCCAAUCGUGGAAUUCUGUUUAUUACAGUCA
rnacentral:lncRNA from 1 species